UCCUGGUUAACCCAGGCAGUCUCACUAGAGUUCCCACCUUAAAUGUUGGCAACUAGUGAUAAGGGUUGCGCUCGUUGCGGGACUUAACCCAACACCUCACGGCACGAGCUGACGACAGCCAUGCAGCACCUGUGUAGCGGUCCCGAAGGAAAGCGCUAUUUCUAGCGCGGUCCACUACAUGUCAAGCCCGGGUAAGGUUCUUCGCGUUGCAUCGAAUUAAACCACAUGCUCCACUGCUUGUGCGGGUCCCCGUCAAUUCUUUUGAGUUUCAGCCUUGCGACUGUACUCCUCAGGCGGUAUACUUAUCACGUUAGCUUCGGCACAACCGGGGUUGAAUCCAGUUACACCAAGUAUACAUCGUUUACAGCUAGGACUAC
rnacentral:misc_RNA from 1 species